ensembl:rRNA 5S_rRNA 5S ribosomal RNA
AGCCACAGCCAUAACACCCUGCAACUUAAGACCGGUUACUUACUAAAGCUAAGCAAGGUUGAGCCUGGUUAGUAUCUGGAUUGGAGUCCACAUGGGAAAACUAGGUUGCUUUUGAAA